AGAGUUUGAUCCUGGCUCAGAGCGAACGCUGGCGGCAGGCUUAACACAUGCAAGUCGAGCGCCCCGCAAGGGGAGCGGCGGACGGGUGAGUAACACGUGGGAACGUGCCCUUCGGUUCGGGAUAACUCAGGGAAACUUGAGCUAACACCGGAUACGCCCUUCGGGGGAAAGGUUACGCCGAUGGAGCGGCCCGCGUCUGAUUAGCUAGUUGGUGGGGUAAUGGCCCACCAAGGCUACGAUCAGUAGCUGGUCUGAGAGGAUGAUCAGCCACACUGGGACUGAGACACGGCCCAGACUCCUACGGGAGGCAGCAGUGGGGAGUCUUGCGCAAUGGGGGAAACCCUGACGCAGCCAUGCCGCGUGAAUGAUGAAGGUCUUAGGAUUGUAAAAUUCUUUCAGCGGGGACGAUAAUGACGGUACCCGCAGAAGAAGCCCCGGCUAACUUCGUGCCAGCAGCCGCGGUAAUACGAAGGGGGCUAGCGUUGCUCGGAUUUACUGGGCGUAAAGGGCGCGUAGGCGGAUGACCAAGUUGGGGGUGAAAUCCCGGGGCUUAACCUCGGAACUGCCUCCAAAACUGGUCGUCUUGAGUUUGGGAGAGGUGUGUGGAACUCCGAGUGUAGAGGUGAAAUUCGUAGAUAUUCGGAAGAACACCAGUGGCGAAGGCGACACACUGGCCCAAUACUGACGCUGAGGCGCGAAAGCGUGGGGAGCAAACAGGAUUAGAUACCCUAGUAGUCC
rnacentral:rRNA from 1 species